AACGAACGCUGGCGGCGUGGAUAAGACAUGCAAGUCGAACGAUCACUAUCGGGUAGCAAUAUCCGGCAGCGGUAGUGGCGCAAGGGUGCGUAACACGUGGGUAAUUUGCCGUAAAGUCUGGGAUAACUUGCUGAAAGGCGAGCUAAUACCGGAUGUGAUUGCUGGAGGGCAUCCUCUGGCACUUAAAGUCGGGGACCGUAAGGCCUGACACUUUUCGAUAAGCCCGCGGCCUAUCAGCUAGUUGGUGAGGUAACGGCUCACCAAGGCUAAGACGGGUAGCUGGUCUGAGAGGACGACCAGCCUCACUGGAACUGAGACACGGUCCAGACACCUACGGGUGGCAGCAGUCGAGAAUUUUUCUCAAUGGGGAAACCCUGAAGGAGCGACGCCGCGUGGGGGAUGAAUGGCUUCGGCCCCGUAAA
rnacentral:rRNA from 1 species